rnacentral:tRNA from 1 species
GUUGUGGCUCAGUGGUAGAGUGCUUGCCUAGCAUGUGUGAGGAGGCACUUGGGUUCGAACCUCAGCACGACA